CUACGGGUUGCACCAGUGGGGAAUAUUGCACAAUGGGCGCAAGCCUGAUGCAGCAACGCCGCGUGAGGGAUGAAGGCCUUCGGGUUGUAAACCUCUUUUAGCAGGGAAGAAGCGAAAGUGACGGUACCUGCAGAAAAAGCACCGGCUAACUACGUGCCAGCAGCCGCGGUAAUACGUAGGGUGCAAGCGUUGUCCGGAAUUAUUGGGCGUAAAGAGCUCGUAGGCGGUUUGUCACGUCUGCUGUGAAAAUCCAAGGCUCAACCUUGGACUUGCAGUGGGUACGGGCAGGCUAGAGUGCGGUAGGGGAGAUGGGAAUUCCUGGUUUAGCGGUGGAAUGCGCAGAUAUCAGGAGGAACACCAAUGGCGAAGGCACAUCUCUGGGCCGUAACUGACGCUGAGGAGCGAAAGCGUGGGGAGCGAACAGGAUUAGAUACCCGUGUAGUC
rnacentral:rRNA from 1 species